rnacentral:pre_miRNA from 1 species
GUGUCACCUAGUGUUCCCUCCAACAUUUCAAUGAGGAAACCCUUAUUUUCCUUUACAAACUAUAUAUCCUCUCUCUGAAGUGUUUGGGGGAACCCCUGGUUCCAU